rnacentral:rRNA from 1 species
UACGUGGGGUCCGAGCGUUGUCCGGAGUUACUGGGCGUAAAGGGCGCGCAGGCGGCGGCGUGGGUCCGGCGUGAAAGCCCCCGGCUCAACCGGGGAAGGUCGUCGGGGACCGCGCCGCUUGAGGGCGGCAGGGGCCGGUGGAAUGCCUGGUGUAGUGGUGAAAUGCGUAGAGAUCAGGCGGAACACCCGUGGCGAAGGCGGCCGGCUGGGCCGUCCCUGACGCUGAGGCGCGAAGGCGUGGGGAGCGAACGGGAUUAGAAACCCCCGUAGUCC